rnacentral:rRNA from 1 species
GAUCCUGGCUCAGAUUGAACGCUGGCGGCAUGCUUUACACAUGCAAGUCGGACGGCAGCACAGAGAAGCUUGCCUCUUGGGUGGCGAGUGGCGAACGGGUGAGUAAUAUAUCGGAACGUACCGAGUAAUGGGGGAUAACUAAUCGAAAGAUUAGCUAAUACCGCAUAUUCUCUGAGGAGGAAAGCAGGGGACCUUCGGGCCGUUGCGUUAUUCGUAGCGGCCGAUAUCUGAUUAG